CUGACUUAUUCAGAGGCACUAGCCCAGAAUAGCCUGCUGUGGCCUUCUGAGAAUUCUUGUUAAUAAUGUACCUUUGAGGAUAAGUGUGGAGCAACUUUUUAAGAAACCAUAGCCUGCAUAGGUAGACUUGUCCUGAACCAGAGCGAAGAGGGAGUAUUUGACUAUCACUAGACAGCACUAAAACGCUGACACCAUUGUUGAAUUACCAGGCUUGGCAUAGCUGAGGGGCAGUGUGUAAACACGCUGAGAAACUCCCUUUUAUGGAAAAUGAAUAAUUUUAAUAAGUAAUACUGCACCUCUGAAUUGGAAACCUUGGUCGAAUGUGAAGUCAAGAGUGGUAGACUUGAAGUUGGAGAGAAAUACUUAGUAGACACGAGUGAAUUAAAAUACUGCAAGACUUAAAAUAUAUCCAGGAAUUCUACAAAACGGAAAGACCCACAAGAGUUUGAGAUGUGUUUGGUCUUCUGAGAUCUGCCUGUCUCCGCUCUUUAAUGCCACGAUUUCCAUAUUGGACUAACGGAUGCUGACCUAACACUCCUGGACACCAGAGUAUAUGCAGAGAAAAGUAUUACACCUGACUGCAAAGAAGGAAAAAUGAAAGAAGACAUUUUAGCAGAAACUGAAGAAGAAAGGAGCUGGAUGAGAUAAGUUUAGGCAUCUUGGAAUUACAGACCACUCUUUGAAAGAACCAUUGAGCCUUUAGAGGGAAGAAGCCCAGUGAACUAUGGGAGCCUCUGGCAAACAGGCAGGGAAGGGCACACAAGGUUGACUGAGAUCCUUAUAUCUUUGGCCUUGCUUUCUUGACAAGAGCCUGCACGUGAGAGUCUCCAGAAUGCUGGAUCAUGCAUUACCACAAAUGUCUUGGCAAAUAUUUCUAUUGCUGUGAUGAUCACCAUUGACUAUAAUGUGCAUACUGUGUUUAAUAGCCACGUUAUUACGUUAUUGAUGAAUCUCAAUGAAAAGAAGAUUCAAAAAUCCAAUAAAUGUAAGUGCAUCCAAAA